CGUAGGGUGCGAGCGGUGUCCGGAAUUAUUGGGCGUAAAGGGCUCGUAGGCGGCUAACUAAGUCAGACGUGAAAUCCCUCAGCUUAACUGGGGAACUGCGUCUGAUACUGGAUGGCUUGGAUUUGGGAGAGGAAUGCGGAAUUCCAGGUGUAGCGGUGAAAUGCGUAGAUAUCUGGAGGAACACCGGUGGCGAAGGCGGCAUUCUGGACCAAUAUUGACGCUGAGGAGCGAAAGCCAGGGGAGCAAACGGG
rnacentral:rRNA from 1 species